CAACCUGUUUUCACUCCGAACGCGUAAAAUACGGAUGUUUGGGCAGUGGCUGUCAGCGUCUGAUUCGACGAAAAAGGCACCCUUGGGUGUACUUCUGUAACGUACUGCGC